UAAGCACAAGACUCACUCUCACCACACAGUAGGACAGAGACAUAAUCUUUGGCUUCAAACUUUCAAAUCUUACAAGAUUUAACUUGAGUUAUUUGUUAAAGAAACUUCAAAACUUCUAGUCAACUGAUGAUGGAUCUGAAAUUGUGGUUCUCAUUUCUUAUGGUUUGUGGGAUGGCUGGAUCUAAACUCUUACACAAGGACUGGCUCAUAAAUGUGCCAUCAAGAAUCCCUGUUCUUCAAAGCUCAUGUGUGGUCAUUCCCUGUGUAUACUCGUAUCCCAAGACAACAAAAAUAUUGAACAGAUGGCAGGGAUUCUGGAAGAGAGGGGACACGAUUGUCGCAUCAACUUUCCCUGAGUUGAAACUAUCGCGUGAUUUCAAGCAUCGAACCAGAAUGGCAGGAUUCCUUCAAAGUGGCAACUGCACCUGGGAGCUGUAUGGCAUCAGAAAAACCGACACUGGUCCGUUUUACUUCAGAAUUGAAAUUCCACAACAUAAAAGCUUCACUUUCUCAAACAAUAAGGUGACCCUGGACAUCUACCGUGAGUAUAUUAGAGACCUUUUCAGUAAUUCAAACUGAAUUCUUUACUUUAAGAUAGUAAAACAUGUUUAAAUAACUAYUUAACAACUGAUUUUGUGACAAUUG